CAGAGGGUGCAAGCGUUAAUCGGAAUUACUGGGCGUAAAGCGAGCGUAGUCGGUUAUUUAAGUCGGAUGUGAAAUCCCCGGGCUCAACCUGGGAAUUGCAUUCGAAACUGGAUAGCUAGAGUUCGGCAGAGGGAAGCGGAAUUUCUGGUGUAGCGGUGAAAUGCGUAGAUAUCAGAAGGAACAUCAGUGGCGAAAGCGGCUUCCUGGACCAGAACUGACGAUCAGGCUCGAAAGCGUGGGGAGCAAACAGGAUUAGAUACCCUGGUAGUCCACGCCAUAAACGAUGACAACUAGACGUUGGGGACAUAUGGUCCACAGUGUCGCAGCUAACGCGUUAAGUUGUCCGCCUGGGGAGUACGGCCGCAAGGUUG
rnacentral:rRNA from 1 species